rnacentral:lncRNA from 1 species
AGGACUCAAAGCAGUUGCCCUGCGCUAGGACCCCAUCCGCUUCGGCUUGUGUACCAGUACUGAGUAACACAGCUCCCCAAAAGUAAGGAAUCUUCCUAGAAACUUCCAACCAAUCCAAACUUCCAGCACUGCUUCUGCAACCUCUGAUCUCACAACCCACCACCUCUACACGGUGAGGAGCCCGGCCGUGGGCAAUGUGGUCCAUACAACUCUCUCCCCAGUCUCUACUUUAUUCACAAACAUGUUGACAUUUGGAGGAGAGGGAUGGAGGAAGCAGGCUUCACUGUAAAGAAGCAGACAAGAUUGGCAGUAGGUGCCUGAAGGAGAAGAUAGAGAAGAGCGCAUUUCACAGUCCAGGAAUGUGCUAGAGAAGUUGUGGAAUGUUUGACUUCUUCUGCAUUCUUGCUAUUCCCAAAACUGAAGGCAGAAUAAAGCUAAAACCCCGGGAAGCUCAGGACCUCAGAAACCCAGCGAUGCUGCCCUCCAAUGGCACACCCUCUUUCUUACUAGCAGCUGUGGCGCAGAUGUUGAGUUUGAAAUUUUCCUCCCUUCAACACUGGGGUGUGUUGUUGUCCCUGCAGGGCCAACCACCAGACCUCAAGAGCACCUGGCAUCUUCUGGACAGAAAUUAAAGUGACAGCCACUAGAAGCAGUGUCCCCAGUGCAGCUGGAAAGACCCAUGGGUGCCUCUGUCACUCGGUGGUGCCACCUGGUUACAUUCCCACCACUGUACAGCUCUGUUGUUUCCUCUUACAAACAAGGCUAUUUGUAAUCCCCCUGCU